rnacentral:rRNA from 1 species
GACGAACCGUGCAAACGUUGUUCGGAAUCACUGGGCUUAAAGGGCGCGUAGGCGGCAGACCAAGUCCGGGGUGAAAUCUUUCGGCUUAACCGGAAAAGGGCCUUGGAUACUGGUUUGCUAGAGGGAGGUAGGGGUCUGUGGAACUUCUGGUGGAGCGGUGAAAUGCGUUGAUAUCAGAAGGAACGCCGGUGGCGAAAGCGACGGACUGGAUCUCUUCUGACGCUGAUGCGCGAAAGCCAGGGGAGCAAACGGGAUUAGAUACCCCGGUAGUCCUGGCCCUAAACGAUGGGUACUAGGUAGCAGACUAAACAUGGGUUUGCUGCCGAAGCAAAAGUGUUAAGUACCCCGCCUGGGGAGUAUGGUCGCAAGGCUGAA